CAGCCGUAAACAAUGUGCGUUAGGUGUGUCGGUAACCACGUGUUACUGAUGCGCCGAAGAGAAAUCGUGAAACGCACCACCUGGGAAGUACGGUCGCAAGGCUGAAACUUAAAGGAAUUGGCGGGGGAGCACCACAACAGGUGGAGCCUGCGGUUUAAUUGGAUUCAACGCCGGACAUCUCACCGGAUAAGACAGCUGAAUGAUUGUCAAUCUGAAGGUUUUACAUGACUAGCUGAGAGGUGGUGCAUGG
rnacentral:rRNA from 1 species